rnacentral:pre_miRNA from 1 species
CUCAUACUCCCUCCGUUCCGAAUUACUUGUCGCAGAUAUGGAUGUAUCUAGAUGUAUUUUAGUUCUAGAUACAUCCAUUUCUGCGACGAGUAAUUUGGAACGGAGGGAGUACAUU